ensembl:piRNA 21ur-5758 ncRNA
UUCGUACGUUGGAAGCUAAAU